CAAGGAAUAUUGUGCAAUGGGCGAAAGCCUGACACAGCGACGCCGCGUGGGGGAAGAAGGCCUUCGGGUUGUAAACCCCUUUUCUCAGGGAAGAUAAUGACGGUACCUGAGGAAUAAGUCUCGGCUAACUACGUGCCAGCAGCCGCGGUAAUACGUAGGAGGCGAGCGUUAUCCGGAUUUACUGGGCGUAAAGAGUGCGUAGGCGGUUCGGCAAGUCGGAUGUGAAAUCUCCCGGCUUAACCGGGAUGGGUCAUCCGAUACUGCCGGACUAGAGGACAGCAAGGGGAAGUGGAAUUCCCGGUGUAGUGGUGAAAUGCGUAGAUAUCGGGAGGAACACCAGUGGCGAAAGCGGCUUCCUGGGCUGUUUCUGACGCUGAGGCUCGAAAGUGUGGGGAGCGAA
rnacentral:rRNA from 1 species